GUAGUCUGCAACUCGACUACAUGAAGCUGGAAUCGCUAGUAAUCGCGAAUCAGAAUGUCGCGGUGAAUACGUUCCCGGGUCUUGUACACACCGCCCGUCACACCAUAGGAGUUGGAAAUGCCCGAAGCCAGUGACCCAACCGUAAGGAGGGAGCUGUCGAAGGUGGAGCCGAUGACUGGGGUGAAGUCGUAACAAGGUACC
rnacentral:rRNA from 1 species